rnacentral:rRNA from 1 species
GAUGAACGCUGGCGGCGUGCCUAAUACAUGCAAGUCGAGCGAACAGACGAGGAGCUUGCUCCUCUGACGUUAGCGGCGGACGGGUGAGUAACACGUGGAUAACCCACCUAUAAGACUGGGAUAACUUCGGGAAACCGGAGCUAAUACCGGAUAAUAUAUUGAACCGCAUGGUUCAAUAGUGAAAGACGGUUUUGCUGUCACUUAUAGAUGGAUCCGCGCCGCAUUAGCUAGUUGGUAAGGUAACGGCUUACCAAGGCAACGAUGCGUAGCCGACCUGAGAGGGUGAUCGGCCACACUGGAACUGAGACACGGUCCAGACUCCUACGGGAGGCAGCAGUAGGGAAUCUUCCGCAAUGGGCGAAAGCCUGACGGAGCAACGCCGCGUGAGUGAUGAAGGUCUUCGGAUCGUAAAACUCUGUUAUUAGGGAAGAACAAAUGUGUAAGUAACUAUGCACGUCUUGACGGUACCCAAUCAGAAAGCCACGGCUAACUACGUG